ensembl:lncRNA
AGAGUGGUACUGGGAAGAGAGGAAGAGUGGUACUGGGAAGAGAGGAAGAGUGGUACUGGGAAGAGAAGAAGAGUGGUACUGGAAAGAGAGGAAGAGUGGUACUGGAAAGAGUGGUACUGGAAAGAGAAGAAGAGUGGUACUGGAAAGAGUGGUACUGGGAAGAGAAGAAGAGUGGUACUGGAAAGAGAGGAAGAGUGGUACUGGGAAGAGAGGAAGAGUGGUACUGGGAAGAGAGGAAGAGUGGUACUGGGAAGAGAAGAAGAGUGGUACUGGAAAGAGAGGAAGAGUGGUACUGGAAAGAGUGGUACUGGUAAGAGAGGAAGAGUGGUACUGGGAAGAGAAGAAGAGUGGUACUGGAAAGAGUGGUACUGGUAAGAGAGGAAGAGUGGUACUGGGAAGAGAGGAAGAGUGGUACUGGAAAGAGAAGAAGAGUGGUACUGGGAAGAGAGGAAGAGUGGUACUGGAAAGAGAAGAAGAGUGGUACUGGGAAGAGAAGAAGAGUGGUACUGGGAAGAGAAGAAGAGUGGUACUGGAAAGAGAAGAAGAGUGGUACUGGAAAGAGUGGAAGAGUGGUACUGGAAAGAGAGGAAGAGUGGUACUGGAAAGAGGAAGAGUGGUACUGGAAAGAGAGGAAGAGUGGUACUGGAAAGAGAGGAAGAGUGGUACUGGGAAGAGAGGAAGAGUGGUACUGGGAAGAGUGGUACUGGGAAGAGAAGAAGAGUGGUACUGGAAAGAGAGGAAGAGUGGUACUGGGAAGAGAAGAAGAGUGGUACUGGAAAGAGAGGAAGAGUGGUACUGGGAAGAGAAGAAGAGUGGUACUGGGAAGAGAGGAAGAGUGGUACUGGAAAGAGAGGAAGAGUGGUACUGGGAAGAGAAGAAGAGUGGUACUGGAAAGAGAAGAAGAGUGGUACUGGAAAGAGAGGAAGAGUGGUACUGGGAAGAGAAGAAGAGUGGUACUGGAAAGAGUGGAAGAGUGGUACUGGAAAGAGAAGAAGAGUGGUACUGGAAAGAGAGGAAGAGUGGUACUGGAAAG